AUUGAACGCUGGCGGCAGGCCUAACACAUGCAAGUCGAGCGAGCGGCGGACGGGUGAGUAAUGUAUGGGGACUGCCCGAUAGAGGGGGAUAACUACUGGAAACGGUGCCUAAAACCUCAUACUGUCGAAUAACCCAUAUGGGAUUAGCUCGUAGGUAAGGUAAUGGCUUACCUCGGCGCCGAUCCCUAGCUGGUCUGAGAGGAUGAUCAGCCACACGGGGACUGAGACACGGCCCAGACUCCUACGGAGGCAGCAGUGGGGAAUAUUGCACGAUGGGCGAAAGCCUGAUGCAGCCAUGCCGCGUGUAUGAAGAAGGCCCUAGGGUUGUAAAGUACUUUCAGUCGGGAGGCGUUACCGACAGAAGAAGCACCGGCUAACUCCGUGCCAGCAGCCGCGGUAAUUC
rnacentral:rRNA from 1 species